rnacentral:rRNA from 1 species
UACAGAGGUGGCGAGCGUUGUUCGGAUUUACUGGGCGUAAAGGGCGCGUAGGCGGUUUCGUAUGUCGGAUGUGAAAGCUCAUCGCUCAACGAUGAAAUUGCAUUCGAAACUGCGGAACUAGAGUACAGGAGAGGAGAGCGGAAUUCUUGGUGUAGCGGUGAAAUGCGUUGAUAUCAAGAAGAACACCGGUGGCGAAGGCGGCUCUCUGGAAUGUUACUGACGCUGAGGCACGAAAGUUGGGGGAG